rnacentral:rRNA from 1 species
UACGUAGGGGCCGAGCGUUGUCCGGAGUUAUUGGGCGUAAAGCGCGCGCAGGCGGCUUGAUAAGCCUGACGUGAAAGCCCCCGGCUCAACCGGGGAAGGUCGUCGGGGACUGUCGAGCUUGAGGACGGCAGGGGUAGGUGGAAUUCCCGGUGUAGUGGUGAAAUGCGUAGAGAUCGGGAGGAACACCCGUGGCGAAGGCGGCCUACUGGGCCGGAUCUGACGCUGAGGCGCGAAGGCGUGGGGAGCGAACGGG